GUGGGAGAUAAUUGAAUCAUGAGGGAAGAAUUUUCUCCAUACUGUUCUCAUGAUAGUGAAUAAGUCUCACGAAAUCUAAUGGUUUCAUAAAUGGACAUUCCCCUGCACA